UACUCGACUCGCUCGGUAUGAAGUACUUGGUUCUCCUGGCUAGAUAAGCUUGUCCGGGGAUAUCCUAAGCGUGCAUACCAUUGUUAACGUGAAAGCGUGAAAAAGAUGUCGAAUAUAUCAUGCGCUAUGCAAUGAGCUCACAGCAACAUCAAUUGUAAAUGAACUUUGAUCAUGACUUGAUGAUGUUUUUGAAACAAUAAAAAUGUAAAAAAUGUA